AUGACGGAAGCAAUCACAGAUAAGUAUGUGGGCCUGCCUGCUCAAGUUGGAAUAAACAGAUCAGAUAGCUUCCAAGAUUUGGUUGAUAGAGUUGUCCAAAGGUUUAUUGGUUACAAAGAAAAUAUCCUAUCAUACGGUGGGAAGGAAGUUUUACUUAAGGCGGUGGCUCGGGCCAUUCCAACAUAUGCAAUGUCAGUCUUUAAACUCCCUAAACAGAUAACAAAAGGGAUCACAGAUGCUAUGUCCCGUUACUGGUGGGGAGAUGAAGAUGUGAAAAAGCAUAUGCAUUGGUUCGCCUGGUGGAAGAUGUGCAUACCAAAGAAAAGAGGAGGUAUUGGUUUCAGAGAUAUAUCAUGUUUUAAUCUAGCGAUGCUAGCCAAACAGGUCUGGAGG
rnacentral:rRNA from 1 species